UGGGGAAUAUUGCACAAUGGGCGCAAGCCUGAUGCAGCCAUGCCGCGUGUGUGAAGAAGGCCUUCGGGUUGUAAAGCACUUUCAGCGAGGAGGAAGGUGGUGAGCUUAAUACGCUCAUCAAUUGACGUUACUCGCAGAAGAAGCACCGGCUAACUCCGUGCCAGCAGCCGCGGUAAUACGGAGGGUGCAAGCGUUAAUCGGAAUUACUGGGCGUAAAGCGCACGCAGGCGGUUUUGUUAAGUCAGAUGUGAAAUCCCCGGGCUCAACCUGGGAACUGCAUUUGAAACUGGCAAGCUAGAGUCUCGUAGAGGGGGGUAGAAUUCCAGGUGUAGCGGUGAAAUGCGUAGAGAUCUGGAGGAAUACCGGUGGCGAAGGCGGCCCCCUGGACGAAGACUGACGCUCAGGUGCGAAAGCGUGGGGCAGCAAACAGGAUUAGAUACCCUGGUAGUCCACGCUGUAAACGAUGUCGAUUUUGGAGGUUGUGCCCUUGAGGCGUGGCUUCCGGAGCUAACGCGUUAAAUCGACCGCCUGGGGAGUACGGCCGCAAGGUUAAAACUCAAAGGAAUUGAC
rnacentral:rRNA from 1 species